rnacentral:rRNA from 1 species
GAUGAACGCUGGCGGCGUGCUUAACACAUGCAAGUCGAACGGAAAGGCCUCAGCUUGCUGGGGUACUCGAGUGGCGAACGGGUGAGUAACACGUGGGUGAUCUGCCCUGCACUUUGGGAUAAGCUUGGGAAACUGGGUCUAAUACCGAAUAUGACCACUUCUUGGAUGUUGUGGUGGAAAGCUUUUGCGGUGUGGGAUGAGCCUGCGGCCUAUCAGCUUGUUGGUGGGGUAAUGGCCUACCAAGGCGGCGACGGGUAUCCGGCCUGAGAGGGUGUGCGGAAACAUUGGGACUGAGAUACGGCCCAGACUCCUACGGGAGGCAGCAGUGGGGAAUAGUGCACAAUGGGCGCAAGCCUGAUGCAGCGACGCCGCGUGGGGGAUGAAGGCCUUCGGGUUGUAAACUCCUUUCGCUAUCGACGAAGCCACUUGUGGUGACGGUAGGUAGAUAAGAAGCACCGGCUAACUACGUGCCAGCAGCCGCAGUAA